UUGCAUUUUAAACUAUUUCAGCAUUGUUUUCCUUUGGUUGCAGUUUCAGACGUUUCAGAUGUUCACUUUCAGGAAUCAGCAGCUAUGAGAUCUGUGAUGUUUAGAUAAGAAUCUGUUUGAAGGCUUCAGUUUUCAGUCUGGUCUCAGACUGCAGGGCUCUCGUCGCUUCCAUAUUAAUUCUAACAUGCAUUGUGAGUCGCAGCUGCCCCGAUCGACGACCUGCCGUCACACUUUAGACUCCACGUCUGCCUUGUAUUAAAAAAAGACCGAAGCUUUGUGGUCAACCUUGCAGAACUGAAACCAGUCCGUCAGUCAGCCUCGUCUGCGGGAAACUACUGCCUUUCAGUCACGUCUCGUCAAAUCUGGUGUUUCUGUGAAAGUGAACUUUUGAACUUUGGAAGAAAGAAAACAGACGUGCUGAAUACAUUUCUGUUCUCAUGAAACAGAGACGGAAGGUAAAUUACAAAGCGGCUCAUGUCCUCUCAAACGAAGCACCUUCACGAGGAUCUGAACACACCUGCUCUACAUGAGGCUUUUUCCUGGGAUGAGGGGAAACAGAUAAGUUUAAUUCUUCAAAUAUGACAGAAAAGAUCAUGACAUCCAUCUUGUAUAGUAAAUUUAAAAAAGUGUAAAUUGCCCUACUUGAGGUUUUCCACAGUGUGAUUGUGUUCAUGCACACCCAACAGAAACCCCCGGUUUGGCUGAAACAUGCAGGAAUGACAUUUUGAAGGUGACCUAGAGGAAGGAGAAGCCAGUGUGUGCAAGACCCUCGGUUUGAAUCCCAGUGGGUCCCUGAGCAAGGCCCCAGUACCUCCAGAGCUCCUGCUGGUUCAGGACUGACUGAACCGUGCUCAGGUCUCCGCUUCAGUUCCAGCUUUUUGUUCAUGAAAAACUUUCUUCUCCCGAAACAUUCGUCCAAACUAUCUGCAUUAAAGAACUGCCUGAGACCCAGCUGAAAACUGAGUUUAGAGUGAAACGCAGGAGGUUGAUGCCGACUGUGAAGCAGUUGGAGCACUGGUGCCGACGACCAAACGAUCUUCCACAAUCUCUGAAUGAGGAGUAAGGAACUGCUGGAUGAUGGCGAAAUAAUCUCACAGCGCUUUAACAGAGAACAACCCAACAAGUCCACGUGAGCGAGCGAAAAGGAAAGAAACAACUUCCUUUAAGCAGGAAGACCCCUGCAGAGCCAGACUCAGAGGUGGACACUUUCUGCUCUUCUGUUUUUGGGGACGGAGAGGCGGGAAAACGGAAGGACAGACUGUGGAGAGAGAUUCAAACCUUGGUUUAGGGUCAGGAGAAACAGAUCCUCCGUCCAAUCCAACACUGGUCUGGUAAUUACCGCCGCAGUCUGCUGACGAAAUCAUUCUCCUCCUAGCAGUUCCAAAAGUCCCGCGUUCAUCGUCAGAAAUAAAGUCGCCAUGCUUCUUCUAAUCAAUGGCUCUGAGCUGCUGUCGCUUCUCUUCACUGGAACUUUUGAGGAAAUCCCAUUCAAGUCGCCGCCGCUCAGCUCGGAUUAGCCCGGCCGAGUGUGAAAGCGGUUGUAAGAGCAGCGGUCUGUUUCCGCCGAACUGAACUGAAGCCUCGGAUUAGUGCCGUCAAUAUGACCGGCAGAAUGAUGAAGAAAUCCGAAGAGGAAGAGGAAGAACGCCGGGUCAACAAGAAACAGAAAAUGUCAGGCAAGCAGGCAUCCGACAUGUACAAAACAACUCAUAUAACCUUUAUUUGCUCUCAGUUAAAUUAUUUCAACCAAUAUAUCCAAAGAAUAGUUCAAAGAAAUGAGCAUAAAUCAAAGAACAAUCACUAUACUGUAUAUUGCCAUCGAAUAGAACAACUCAAAUAAUUAUUGUAUCAAACAACCGCAAAUAUCCAGAGUUCAUUGGUUCUAAUAAGACAAUGACAGUACCUUUGUGUAAAUUCAAAACAUCAUCCACUUUUGCUUAAAUAUUAUGGUAAUAAUCCGAUUUUUUUUUUCUUUUUAAAGCUCACGAAGAAGAAUGUCGUCUGAUUCAGCUUUGAAAUGCAGGCCGACCGGAGGCGGCCCGGUUCAGGUGGCCGUACCGCCACGACACAUCCACCCAUUCACAUAUCCACCCAUCCAUCUGUGAAGAGAGGAACAGAACAGCGACGGAGCGAGGCAGAAACGGCGGGGAAGCCGUCGCCAUCAUGAACAGGUCUAUACAGAAGUCAUGGAAGCUGUACAGAGAUUAUUGUAACAAACAGACAGUAAAAACAAAGCCUGGUAAAAAUGCUCACUGACCUUCUAAAACCUUUAAAUCAAUC